rnacentral:rRNA from 1 species
AAAUUGAAGAGUUUGAUCAUGGCUCAGAUUGAACGCUGGCGGCAGGCCUAACACAUGCAAGUCGAGCGGAAACGAGUUAUCAGAACCUUCGGGGGACGAUAACGGCGUCGAGCGGCGGACGGGUGAGUAAUGCCUAGGAAAUUGCCCUGAUGUGGGGGAUAACCAUUGGAAACGAUGGCUAAUACCGCAUGAUGACCUGACGGGCCAAAGA